CAUGCUAACACAUGUGUUGAAUUUGAAUGAAACGAAAGUCGUUCAUGCGCGUUUACAGGUCUACAGAACAUACUACAACAGUGGCGGCGGCGGCGGCAUCAGCGGACAUCGGGCGCCCAGUUCGCAGCUAAUUUGGCUGAGUAAUUAACGCUAUCCAGUUAGCGUGAGUUGAAACUUCGGAGCGGUGUAUGAUAUCUAAUGCGCGUCAGGUGCACGAUAUGCACAAUCAUCUGAACGUUACCCAAGCACAAGAUAUCAUCUGAAUUUUGCUUGUAGAAGAAGCUCAAUGGGUUGAUUGAAUUGCGAAUUUUUUUGUGUAGGAAAUUACAUAAUUUACACCACUUACGAAUUCAUCUACAUCGGUAUACGCUCGAAUCAAUUUUUCUACCACAUGAAACUGAUUGCGCAUUUAUUUACUGCUACCCUAUUCGUUGCGUCGACCCGCUUUUCCUAAAACAAAUAACACAGGUUCGUUUGUCCGUUUUAGGUACUUAGUCAAAUCCUGCUAAUCUUUACAAUGGCUACACUAGCUUACGCGGAGUCCUAACCAGGCGACAACGACGCGAGGCGAUGACCUGCUCUAUGGAAUCGGUGGUGGCAUUGGUGUCUACUGGUUCGCCGCAGCCAUGUGAAUCGCGAAACGAGAGAGAAUUAUAGCUAUGGUAAAUAAGAAAUGAUCGUCGUAUUGCGAAACGUGAACACAUUACUGAAAACCUUUAAUCCAAGCGCUAGGUACGCUUAAGGAAACACUCAAAGAAAUAAGGAGAUGUACAGUAGAUGCUUACAUAUAAUAUUAGCAUUGUGGAUUUCACGGUACGCAUUCGUCACUAAAUAGACUCUUGAGGGGUUCCGGAAAAGUGGACAGAGUGCCCUUCUACAGAAUCAUAUGAAGCGUGUAAGGUAUCCUCAGCUCAAUAAACUUAUGGAUUCUCUAGAUGGUAAUGCAUAGUUGCACUAGACCAGUUGGGCAACAAGAAACAAAACAUACCUUCAGUCAAGACAUUAAUUACGUUCCUUAAGUUGUCCUUUGAAAACCUGAUCGUUUAAUGACGCUAAUUGAUUCACUAUCAAUUAAUAUGUAUAAUACUGCGUUGACAAUAACUAAUUAUAAUACUAUAGUAUAUAAUAUAUUGGGGUGACCUUUGAGUUAAUCGUUUAUCGUAACAGUUAUUGAUUUAAAAAAAACACCACGGUAAUUCUAAUCUUGUAAUUCUAAAGAAUUACAGCAGAAAGAAGUGCAGGCAAAAAAUCCGGUUCCUGAGAUAAAUUUUUUUCAGAUUUUGUCAAAAUUUACAUGUUAUCAUUGUUGUUAUUGUGCUCAAUUUGAGAGCUGCAUACCAUUGUGAAAGCGAAUCACCGCUACACAAUUGGUUUCUGUUUAAAAAAUUAAAUCUCGACUUAUCAUGUUAUAUACCAGGAUAUAUUUCUAAGGGUAAUAUAAACCUAAACACAGCGGAUCAGUUGCUGGUCCUUUGCAAUAAUCGUAGUUUGCACGCCGACCGAACGAUCGUCAGUAAAUCGCUUAUAGCGUUCAUAUAAAUAACGUCUUUACGUGAAAAUAGCCCAAGCAUCAAAGCAAAUCGUCUUAUAUCAACAAAGAUAUUCUCGCAUUGUUUAACAACGACUAUAUUCCCUUCAUAUUACAUUGACUCAUGUUGCCCAUAAGUAGCCGUCUUCAGAGUAAUUGAAAACAAAAUUAAAAAAAAUGCAUGCCGGAUGUUUAAUAAUAUUGAAUAGCAUUGAAGCUGCCCUUAUU
rnacentral:lncRNA from 1 species